rnacentral:rRNA from 1 species
UACAGAGGUCUCAAGCGUUGUUCGGAUUCAUUGGGCGUAAAGGGUGUGUAGGUGGCGCCGUAAGUCGGGUGUGAAAUUUCGGAGCUUAACUCCGAAACUGCAUUCGAUACUGCGGUGCUUGAGGACUGGAGAGGAGACUGGAAUUCAUGGUGUAGCAGUGAAAUGCGUAGAUAUCAGGAGGAAUACCGGUGGCGAAAGCGACUCUCUGGACGGCAACUGACGCUGAGGCACGAAAGCGUGGGGAGCAAACAGG